AUUGAACGCUGGCGGCAGGCUUAACACAUGCAAGUCGAGCGGGGGAAGGUAGCUUGCUACUGGACCUAGCGGCGGACGGGUGAGUAAUGCUUAGGAAUCUGCCUAUUAGUGGGGGACAACAUCUCGAAAGGGAUGCUAAUACCGCAUACGUCCUACGGGAGAAAGCAGGGGAUCUUCGGACCUUGCGCUAAUAGAUGAGGCUAAGUCGGAUUAGCUAGUUGGUGGGGUAAAGGCCUACCAAGGCGACGAUCUGUAGCGGGUCUGAGAGGAUGAUCCGCCACACUGGGACUGAGACACGGCCCAGACUCCUACGGGAGGCAGCAGUGGGGAAUAUUGGACAAUGGGGGGAACCCUGAUCCAGCCAUGCCGCGUGUGUGAAGAAGGCCUUAUGGUUGUAAAGCACUUUAAGCGAGGAGGAGGCUACUCUAGUUAAUACCUAGGAAUAGUGGACGUUACUCGCAGAAUAAGCACCGGCUAACUCUGUGCCAGCCGCCGCAGUAA
rnacentral:rRNA from 1 species